rnacentral:rRNA from 1 species
UACAGAGGUCUCAAGCGUUGUUCGGAUUCAUUGGGCGUAAAGGGUGCGUAGGUGGCGGGGUAAGUCAGGUGUGAAAUCUCGGGGCUCAACCCCGAAACUGCACUUGAUACUGCCUUGCUCGAGUACUGGAGAGGAGAUUGGAAUUUACGGUGUAGCAGUGAAAUGCGUAGAUAUCGUAAGGAAGACCAGUGGCGAAGGCGGCUUGCUGGACCUGGUCUGACGCUGAGGCGCGAAAGCGUGGGGAGCGAACAG